rnacentral:rRNA from 1 species
UACGUAGGUGGCAAGCGUUGUCCUGAAUUAUUGGGCGUAAAGCGCGCGCAGGCGGUCCUUUAAGUCUGAUGUGAAAGCCCACGGCUCAACCGUGGAGGGUCAUUGGAAACUGGGGGACUUGAGUACAGAAGAGAAGAGUGGAAUUCCACGUGUAGCGGUGAAAUGCGUAGAGAUGUGGAGGAACACCAGUGGCGAAGGCGACUCUUUGGUCUGUAACUGACGCUGAGGCGCGAAAGCGUGGGGAGCAAACAGG